rnacentral:rRNA from 1 species
GUAGGGAAUCUUCCACAAUGGACGAAAGUCUGAUGGAGCAACGCCGCGUGAGUGAAGAAGGUCUUCGGAUCGUAAAACUCUGUUGUUAGAGAAGAACGUGCAUGAUAGUAACUGAUCAUGUAAUGACGGUAUCUAACCAGAAAGCCACGGCUAACUACGUGCCAGCAGCCGCGGUAAUACGUAGGUGGCAAGCGUUGUACGGAUUUAUUGGGCGUAAAGGGAACGCAGGCGGUUUUUUAAGUCUGGUGUGAAAGCCUUCGGCUUAACCGAAGAAUAGCAUUGGAAACUGGGAGAAUUGAGUGCAGAAGAGGAGAGUGGAAUUCCAUGUGUAGCGGUUAAAUGCGUAGAUAUAUGGAGGAACACCAGUGGCGAAAGCGGCUCUCUGGUCUGUAACUGACGCUGAGGUUCGAAAGCGUGGGUAGCAAACAGGAUUAGAAACCCCUGUAGUCC